rnacentral:rRNA from 1 species
CCUCGGGUGACAGGGAGACAGGUGGUGCAUGGUGUCGUCAGCUCGUGUCGUGAGAUGUUGGGUUAAGUCCCGCAACGAGCGCAACCCCUACGUUUAGUUGCUAACGCGUGAAGGCGAGCACUCUAGACGAACUGCCGUUGACAAAACGGAGGAAGGUGGGAUGACGUCAAAUCAUCAUGCCCCUUAUGUUCUGGGCUACACACGUGCUACAAUGGCCGGUACAGACGGACGCAAAGCCGCGAGGUGGAGCAAAUCCUAAAAAGCCGGUCUCAGUUCGGAUUGCAGGCUGCAACUCGACUGCGUGAAGUUGGAAUCGCUAGUAAUCGUAGAUCAGCAUGCUACGGUGAAUACGUUCCCGGGCCUU